GAAGUUCUUUUUCACUGAAUACAGUUUCUAUCCCGCUCCUGCAAGCGAGGCUUAGGGGACGGCGCUCUCUAUGGACUCUCUCACUGUGCCAGACUUCACUGGGUUUAGCACAAGAAGCACAACUUAUUGGAUUACGGGGUCCACCGUGCUCGUUUUGCUGGGGGCGGUGUGUGCGGGGGUAUACGUGGGUGGGCAGCUGGUGAACCGAGGAAGGGUUGGCGUAGUAAAUACAUGAUGAAGUCACAUUAAGUGUCCUGUUUGAUAUGCAGAAUUUCUAAUGGAGCUGUGUCUUUUCAUGUUCGGAGGUUGGAAGUUGAAGCGGGCCAGUGGGGCAGCCUCCUGGAAAUGCGGCAGGACUGUGAAAGCGUCUCUUGUUUCACGUGGAUUUAACCGCACCUGUUUAAUUUCAAUCCGCUGGAAGUACAUCUGCAUGGACAGGAUAAGGUUUUGGCACAAAUCCUUGGUUAGAUGGACUCUCUGCUGAUGACAUAACUCUCCGUAAUUGUCCACAAACGAACAGAGACUCACAGCGGAGUGAUGAACAAAAACACACAGUGUGCGCGUGAGUGUACGCGUCCUCGGUGCCCAUUGGAUAUCAUAACCUUCCUCACCCUUUCACAGAUUUCAGCCCCGGCAGUGUGGGAUGUUCUGUUUAGCACUCUAAUCUUUCUCUCUGUUUUCCUCUUUGCACACUCAUCUCUUUUUCCUUUAAUACAGUAUUUACAAAAGCUAAAACCACAAUUAGACCUUUUCUUUCGCUGCACCGCUCUCAGCAGCGGUGGGCAAUAAAUGAGCCUCUGUCCUGCUGCGUUCUGCAUCAGUCGGACACACUCUGAUUGUGGAUGUGCCCUUUCCCUAACAGGUUACUCACUGAGAUAAAGAAUCACAGAGGCUGCGAGGAAUCCUUGCAUUCGCCUCUUUAUUAUUUAUUCUGCAGCAUGACAUAUUGAAAGCAUGCCGGGCCGGAGCAGCUCAAAAUGCUCCCUGCCGGGAGAGAGGGAGUAAUCGUACUGGUUUCAACAGCGAAACAAGCAAACUGUUAUUGCCUGAGCACUUCUAAUGAUGCUGCCUGUGUUCUCCUCACUGUUAGGUGUAUGUAGCAGCAUACAGGGCGGCUGCGGAGCUGAUGUUUUGAUGUGCAGGAUGUCUUUGAUUUACAAGUGAUUGUUGUAAAGAAUACAAAAUCAAUUUUCUCUGUCGAUGUGGAUGUUUAAUUGCAGAGAUGCCGGGGUCAUGAAUGUGAAGUGCUGGCUUUGUUCCACCCACAUACAGAAGCUUUUCCAGGAGCUGAGUGACUGCCUCCCUCUGCCAGAAGCGCCAUCCUCGUCCCAGUGGCGUUCCACCUUAAAAAAGAUGAAUAUAUGUGCCCAA